GCACCUCUUUCAUUUGGGUGUACACUCUCAGAAACAAAAUUACUUCCAAAAGGAGAUUCCAUUGCAGAAGCCGAUCGAGUUUUAUGUUUUUUUUCCUCAGGCAAAAUGGUUCUUACUCUGGGAGCUUUCACUUCACAACCUAUGGUCAAAGGCUGCAGUAAGACCUAAAGGGGGUUCCUAUGGAGACAAGCCUGAUAACCUUUUUUUCUGAGAGGGAAGCGACACCAGGAAGGAGAAAUGCGAUGAAGAAUGCGUGUAGCAGUCUGAACUUCACCGUCCAGGAGGUCAAACGAGUGACUUUGAUGGAAACACCUCAGGUGCCUCACCAACAUCACGCUGGCUUGCCUUUGAAGACCCUGCCUUCUAUUUACCUACUGCACUUCAAUUAAUUCACCCCAGCUGGAUUACUGCAACAGCAUCCUCUCAGGACUCCCCACCAAACUCACCAACAAACUUCAAAUAAUACAAAAUUCUGCUGCCCGAAUCCUCACCCGCACAAAAUCUCAUGAACACAUCACACCCAGCCUCACUCAGCUACACUGGUUACCAGUUCAACAGCGCAUUGAUUUCAAGAUCCCCCUACUCACAUACAAGGCUUUGAACACCCUUGCACCCCCCUAUCUCUCUGACCUUCUUCACGACUACACCCCAACUCGCACUCUCCGCUCCUCCUCAGCUGGCCUCCUGUCUAUCCCCACCACCCGACUCUCUACUAUGGGUGCUCGAGCAUUCAGCUCUACAGCACCCAGGCUCUGGAACUCUCUACCCAUACACAUCCGCCAUACAGAGUCACUGUCAUCUUUCAAAAAACUUCUCAAAACUCAUCUGUUUACUCUUGCAUACCCCUGACUGUUUCCUUCCCUUUACAUGUUGUUGUGUCUAUCUCUGUCUGCUGUCUGUUUGUUUGAUAUUAAUUGUAUGUUCAUUGUAAAUUAUUUUUAAUUGGAUAUAUUGCAUCAUGUUUUCUUUUUUGUUGAUGAUUUUAAAUGGGAUAUUUUGUAUCAUGU